GGCAAGAUGGCCGAGUUGGUCUAAGGCGCUAGCUUCAGGUUGCAAUUCAUGGUUGUGAUAUGAUGUUUGCUAGUCUCGCAAGAGGCGUGGGUUCGAAUCCCACUCUUGUCA
rnacentral:tRNA from 1 species